AGGUUGGGUAACACUAACUGGAGGACCGAACCGACUAAUGUUGAAAAAUUAGCGGAUGACUUGUGGCUGGGGGUGAAAGGCCAAUCAAACCGGGAGAUAGCUGGUUCUCCCCGAAAGCUAUUUAGGUAGCGCCUCGUGAAUUCAUCUCCGGGGGUAGAGCACUGUUUCGGCAAGGGGGUCAUCCCGACUUACCAACCCGAUGCAAACUGCGAAUACCGGAGAAUGUUAUCACGGGAGACACACGGCGGGUGCUAACGUCCGUCGUGAAGAGGGAAACAACCCAGACCGCCAGCUAAGGUCCCAAAGUCAUGGUUAAGUGGGAAACGAUGUGGGAAGGCCCAGACAGCCAGGAUGUUGGCUUAGAAGCAGCCAUCAUUUAAAGAAAGCGUAAUAGCUCACUGGUCGAGUCGGCCUGCGCGGAAGAUGUAACGGGGCUAAACCAUGCACCGAAGCUGCGGCAGCGACGCUUAUGCGUUGUUGGGUAGGGGAGCGUUCUGUAAGCCUGUGAAGGUGUGCUGUGAGGCAUGCUGGAGGUAUCAGAAGUGCGAAUGCUGACAUAAGUAACGAUAAAGCGGGUGAAAAGCCCGCUCGCCGGAAGACCAAGGGUUCCUGUCCAACGUUAAUCGGGGCAGGGUGAGUCGACCCCUAAGGCGAGGCCGAAAGGCGUAGUCGAUGGGAAACAGGUUAAUAUUCCUGUACUUGGUGUUACUGCGAAGGGGGGACGGAGAAGGCUAUGUUGGCCGGGCGACGGUUGUCCCGGUUUAAGCGUGUAGGCUGGUUUUCCAGGCAAAUCCGGAAAAUCAAGGCUGAGGCGUGAUGACGAGGCACUACGGUGCUGAAGCAACAAAUGCCCUGCUUCCAGGAAAAGCCUCUAAGCAUCAGGUAACAUCAAAUCGUACCCCAAACCGACACAGGUGGUCAGGUAGAGAAUACCAAGGCGCUUGAGAGAACUCGGGUGAAGGAACUAGGCAAAAUGGUGCCGUAACUUCGGGAGAAGGCACGCUGAUAUGUAGGUGAAGUCCCUCGCGGAUGGAGCUGAAAUCAGUCGAAGAUACCAGCUGGCUGCAACUGUUUAUUAAAAACACAGCACUGUGCAAACACGAAAGUGGACGUAUACGGUGUGACGCCUGCCCGGUGCCGGAAGGUUAAUUGAUGGGGUCAGCGCAAGCGAAGCUCUUGAUCGAAGCCCCGGUAAACGGCGGCCGUAACUAUAACGGUCCUAAGGUAGCGAAAUUCCUUGUCGGGUAAGUUCCGACCUGCACGAAUGGCGUAAUGAUGGCCAGGCUGUCUCCACCCGAGACUCAGUGAAAUUGAACUCGCUGUGAAGAUGCAGUGUACCCGCGGCAAGACGGAAAGACCCCGUGAACCUUUACUAUAGCUUGACACUGAACAUUGAGCCUUGAUGUGUAGGAUAGGUGGGAGGCUUAGAAGUGUGGACGCCAGUCUGCAUGGAGCCGACCUUGAAAUACCACCCUUUAAUGUUUGAUGUUCUAACG
rnacentral:rRNA from 1 species